rnacentral:tmRNA from 1 species
GGGGGCGAUCUGGCUUCGACGUGGAUCGCGAAACCUUCAGGUGCAUGCCGGGGCUGCGGUGACCCCGUUAUGAACGCCGCACUAAAGAUAGUUGCCAACGACGACAACUACGCACUCGCGGCCUAAACAGCCGUGAGCGUCGGAUUUCGGCUGGCCCGUGGGCCGAUUCUCCGGCGUCGACUCACACGGGCUCGCGGUGAGGCUCCCCCCGGGCCGAGCCGUUAAACCCUAUAGGGGGUCGUUGUCCGGCUUGCCUGCCCGUCGGCUGCCGGAUGGCUAAACGCCAAUAGACGCGGCUAAGCAUGUAGAGCCGAAGGCGGAGGAUCCGCGGACGGGGGUUCGAUUCCCCCCGCCUCCACCA